rnacentral:rRNA from 1 species
ACGAACGCUGGCGGCGUGCCUAAUACAUGCAAGUCGAACGAAACUUUCUUACACCGAAUGCUUGCAUUCACCGUAAGAAGUUGAGUGGCGGACGGGUGAGUAACACGUGGGUAACCUGCCUAAAAGAAGGGGAUAACACUUGGAAACAGGUGCUAAUACCGUAUAUCUCUAAGGAUCGCAUGAUCCUUAGAUGAAAGAUGGUUCUGCUAUCGCUUUUAGAUGGACCCGCGGCGUAUUAACUAGUUGGUGGGGUAACGGCCUACCAAGGUGAUGAUACGUAGCCGAACUGAGAGGUUGAUCGGCCACAUUGGGACUGAGACACGGCCCAAACUCCUACGGGAGGCAGCAGUAGGGAAUCUUCCACAAUGGACGCAAGUCUGAUGGAGCAACGCCGCGUGAGUGAAGAAGGUCUUCGGAUCGUAAAACUCUGUUGUUAGAGAAGAACACGAGUGAGAGUAACUGUUCAUUCGAUGACGGUAUCUAACCAGCAAGUCACGGCUAACUACGUGCCAGCAGCCGCGGUAAUACGUAGGUGGCAAGCGUUGUCCGGAUUUAUUGGGCGUAAAGGGAACGCAGGCGGUCUUUUAAGUCUGAUGUGAAAGCCUUCGGCUUAACCGGAGUAGUGCAUUGGAAACUGGAAGACUUGAGUGCAGAAGAGGAGAGUGGAACUCCAUGUGUAGCGGUGAAAUGCGUAGAUAUAUGGAAGAACACCAGUGGCGAAAGCGGCUCUCUGGUCUGUAACUGACGCUGAGGUUCGAAAGCGUGGGUAGCAAACAGGAUUAGAUACCCUGGUAGUCCACGCCGUAAACGAUGAAUGCUAGGUGUUGGAGGGUUUCCGCCCUUCAGUGCCGCAGCUAACGCAAUAAGCAUUCCGCCUGGGGAGUACGACCGCAAGGUUGAAACUCAAAGGAAUUGACGGGGGCCCGCACAAGCGGUGGAGCAUGUGGUUUAAUUCGAAGCAACGCGAAGAACCUUACCAGGUCUUGACAUCCGAUGCAUAGUGCAGAGAUGCAUGAAGUCCUUCGGGACAUCGAGACAGGUGGUGCAUGGUUGUCGUCAGCUCGUGUCGUGAGAUGUUGGGUUAAGUCCCGCAACGAGCGCAACCCUUGUUGUCAGUUGCCAGCAUUAAGUUGGGCACUCUGGCGAGACUGCCGGUGACAAACCGGAGGAAGGUGGGGACGACGUCAAGUCAUCAUGCCCCUUAUGACCUGGGCUACACACGUGCUACAAUGGACGGUACAACGAGUCGCGAGACCGCGAGGUUUAGCUAAUCUCUUAAAGCCGUUCUCAGUUCGGAUUGUAGGCUGCAACUCGCCUACAUGAAGUCGGAAUCGCUAGUAAUCGCGAAUCAGCAUGUCGCGGUGAAUACGUUCCCGGGCCUUGUACACACCGCCCGUCACACCAUGAGAGUUUGUAACACCCAAAGCCGGUGGGGUAACCGCAAGGAGCCAGCCGUCUAAGGUGGGACAGAUGAUUGGGGUG